CCUGAACGCUGGCGGCGUGGCUAAGACAUGCAAGUCGAACGGGUGUAGCAAUACACCAGUGGCGGACGGGUGAGUAAUGUAUCGCUAACGUGCCCUGGAAUCUGAGAUAGCCAAUCGAAAGGUUGGGUAAUACCAGAUGAAAUAUCCUUAUCGCAUGAUGAGGAUCUCAAAGGAGCAAUCCGGUCUGGGAGCGGGCGAUAUCGUAUCAGCUAGUUGGUGAGGUAACGGCUCACCAAGGCGACGACGCGUAGCCGGGCUGAGAGGUCGGCCGGCCACAUUGGGACUGAGACACUGCCCAGACUCCGUACGGGGGCUGCAGUAACGAAUCUUCCGCAAUGCACGAAAGUGUGACGGAGCGACGCCGCGUGUAGGA
rnacentral:rRNA from 1 species